UACAGGGGGUGCAAACGUUGCUCGGAAUCACUGGGCGUAAAGCGCACGUAGGCGGCUUCUUAAGUCAGGGGUGAAAUCCUGGAGCUCAACUCCAGAACUGCCUUUGAUACUGGGAGGCUCGAGUCCGGGAGAGGUGAGUGGAACUGCGAGUGUAGAGGUGAAAUUCGUAGAUAUUCGCAAGAACACCAGUGGCGAAGGCGGCUCACUGGCCCGGUACUGACGCUGAGGUGCGAAAGCGUGGGGAGCAAACAGG
rnacentral:rRNA from 1 species